CUCCUGGAAGCAGGCAAGCCGGAUGACAUCUUCUUGGCGAUGCAAGCAUUGGACGAGAAACAGACUCUGGGAGAAACCAGGAAGGGAUGAAGCAAUCAGAAAGAAAGAAGAAGCCAGGCCAGCAGCAAUUUUGGCGAUAACCAGCCUCAGCCUGACCCCGCCGGGGCUCCAGAGGGCCCCCACCAUGGUGUCUUCAUGAGGCCUUCACAUCAGGAUGGCAGUCGAUGCAUUUAGUGCCCAGUCUCAUCUAGCAUAACCUCAUUGUAACUGACCACCUCAGCAGAGACGCGAUUUCCAAAUGGACAAGCAUGAUGAGGGGUGGCACCACGCAGAGUGGAGACCUUAGCGCCGGCAGUUGGAUGUUUCGAGCCCUGAAAGGGACGGUGCCGGCCGGCAUUCACUUAGACUGGGAACCAGAGCACGGGCUUUCAGCUGGGGGCUUCGUGGUCAGAGGGCCUGGCCCUGGUGUCAGGAUCUCCUGGUCCCAGGACCUCAUUUCCCUCAAAAAGCCCUUGCUUUUGAGCAAACAGCGUCUCCUGUGAACCACCACACUCUGUUCUCUCUGCCUGAUGCACUUCUGACGUGUCUCUGCCUGAGACACAUCGUCCACUGAGCUCCUCAAAGAGGACACACAGUGCGUCUACAGCUCCACCCGCUCUGUGUGCCCGGGGGCUUUAGCAUCUCAUGGGCCAGAUGGCAAGUCCAGGCUCCACUACUUGCUGGCUGUGUGUCCUUGGGCGAGUUACAUAACCUCUCUGGGCCUUGGCUUCUGCUGCGGGUGUACUGUGAAGACUGAAUGAAAUCAUAUGUGAUAAUAUAUGUAAAGGGUUCUGCACGCAAAUUGUUUGUGGCUGUGUGUGACUCCGUGGCUGACCUCUCUGAGGAACUCAGGGAUGGAGCUGCAGGGUGGGCUCUGAGCCUCACCCCUCCUCCCAAGC
ensembl:lncRNA